rnacentral:lncRNA from 1 species
ACACUGUCCUGCCCCUGCAAUCUCACAUGUCCUCUAUAUUUCUGGGUAUGUGCCCUGCCACCAGUGCUGGAUCCAUGAUUCCUUGAAGGACAGUCUUCCCACCACCUUGUUCUGAGGCUCUGGGUGAGUGUUCCAGAAGCUGACGAGAUGCAGGAUCGUCUCCCUCACACACACAAAUGCCAUGGCAACAGCAACUCCGUGACAACAGCAAAGAAAGCCAGACUGGAAUUUGCCAACCCAGAGAGUCGACCAUCUGUGAGGCCAAACCCUCCAAAUGUUGCCCGUUCUAAGUGCUCAUCUCAACCAGGCUUUUGUACAUAGCAGAGGUGACAUUUAAG